rfam:Otolemur garnettii contig053789, whole genome shotgun sequence.
GCAGGGCAUGGGGUGGAGCAUGCUUCUAGUGCCAGGUACUUGGGAGGCAGAGGCGGGAGGAUCAUUUGAGCCCAGGAAUUCUGAGCCGUAGUGCACUGUGACAAUUGGGUGUCUUUGCUAAGUUCAACAUCAAUAUGGUGACAUCCAAGGAAUGGAGAACCAUCAGGUUGCCUAAGUGAGGAGAACCAGCUCAUCUUGGAAACCGAGCAGAUCAAAACUCCUGUGCUGAUCAGUCGUGGGAUUGCACCUGUGAGUAGCCACUGCCCUGCGGCCUGGGUAACACAGGGAGAUCCCAUCUUUA